CGCGCGCAAUCACCGCGCCUCCUCCGCAUCGCCGCGCCUCCUCCGCAUCGCCGCGAGUGCGCGUCAGGCGCCUGCCCGCCGCAUCGCCGUGCCUCCUCCGCAUCCCUCCCCUCCGCGCAUCCUCCACCCGGAUCCCUCGCCUCCGCCUGCGAGGAGGAACGCUUCGCCGGGCGCCUCUCCUCGCUCGCCAGGGACCGCAUUUGCGUCACUCGUCCGCGCCGCCAUAACUCCAUCGACAAGCCUCGCCGAUCUGCGACGCCGACGAGCCGUGGGCUCCUGCAUCGACGCACUGCCACCGCCUCCACCUCGAGCGUCAACGCCGCCAAGAGGUACAAAAACCCUGCUCCACCACCCCUCCAGCUUCUACCUGAUCCCCAUCCCUAA
rnacentral:lncRNA from 1 species